AAGCGGAGGAAAAGAAACCAACAGGGAUUGCCUUAGUAGCGGCGAGUGAAGCGGCAAAAGCUCAAAUUUGAAAUCUGGCACUUUCAGUGUCCGAGUUGUAAUUUGAAGAAGGUAUCUUUGGGUCUGGCUCUUGUCUAUGUUUCUUGGAACAGAACGUCACAGAGGGUGAGAAUCCCGUGCGAUGAGAUGUCCCAGACCUAUGUAAAGUUCCUUCGAAGAGUCGAGUUGUUUGGGAAUGCAGCUCUAAGUGGGUGGUAAAUUCCAUCUAAAGCUAAAUAUUGGCGAGAGACCGAUAGCGAACAAGUACAGUGAUGGAAAGAUGAAAAGAACUUUGAAAAGAGAGUGAAAAAGUACGUGAAAUUGUUGAAAGGGAAGGGCUUGAGAUCAGACUUGGUAUUUUGUAUGUUACUCUCUCGGGGGUGGCCUCUACAGUUUACCGGGCCAGCAUCAGUUUGAGCGGUAGGAUAAGUGCAAAGAAAUGUGGCACUGCUUCGGUAGUGUGUUAUAGUCUUUGUCGAUACUGCCAGCUUAGACUGAGGACUGCGGCUUCGGCCUAGGAUGUUGGCAUAAUGAUCUUAAGUCGCCCGUCUUG
rnacentral:rRNA from 1 species